ensembl:lncRNA
AGCUUCGUUCAGGCCCGGCCGGGACUUGAUCAUCCUGGAAAUUAUAUCGCUGGCUCGUCCCACUUGGGGGAAAGCCAAUUACCUGGACUGGGAGCCAUUGGCAUCUCGUCCGGCCUCCCGCAGCCAGACAGGAACCCUGAGCUUCUGCUUCCAGCCUGGCCUGGCCUGUCCUAGAGAGUCCGCCUGGGUGAGGGGAGAGCCAGCCUGCGAGGGGCCCCUCCCACAGCCUGGCCUUUCCUGUGGGGCUGCAGUGGAACCUUCUCAUUUGCCUGAAAUGGAAAAAAGUCAAGCCCCGCAGCAGAAAAUGUCCGGGACCCUCCGCAAAGCGACCCAGAAGUUGAGUCCCAGACCCCUUGGAGCGGGAACUGUUGGCCUGAGAAGCUUGAGGAUCACGUUCAAUUCAUCAUUAUUUUUGCUGGAGGCGAAGGCUUCUGAAACACCGAACCAGCAGAAAGUGCCUGAGAGCCUCGGAGGGCCUGGGGGGCAAGGCCAGCGAGCCUGGUUUACAGAGAAGAAAAAAGAGGUUCCAAAGGGUGCCCCGAAGCCGGGAGGUCUGAGCUCAUCUCUGCCCCAGCGCGUCCCACAGCCUGGCCCCAGUUCUCAUCCCAAGGUCCCGAGUCCUGGACGGGGGCUCCCUGGGCCCUGAGCUCGGGGUGGGGGAGCCCCGCUCCUGGAUUUCUGCACGGUGGGCUGGG